rnacentral:rRNA from 1 species
UACGGGGGGGGCAAGCGUUGUUCGGAAUUACUGGGCGUAAAGGGCUCGUAGGCGGCCGACUAAGUCAGACGUGAAAUCCCCAGGCUCAACCUGGGAACUGCGUCUGAUACUGGAUGGCUUGAAUUCGGGAGAGGGAUGCAGAAUUCCAGGUGUAGCGGUGAAAUGCGUAGAUAUCUGGAGGAAUACCGGUGGCGAAGGCGGCAUCCUGGACCGACAUUGACGCUGAGGCGCGAAAGCUAGGGGAGCAAACGGG